AAAUGCUUCUUUUCUAUCAGAUUAUAUUUUAAAAACUUUCCUUCAUGUGUUCAGUAAUCCAAUUGAGGUCUAGUGAAUCUGUCAGGAAAAUAUUCUGUACAUCCAUUUUGUUUUUGUCAUUGUGUUCUUGGAAGAGUCAACUCCAUUGACCGUCAUGUCCACCCACAGCUCAGAGAAUUCUUUGCAGAUUUAUGACUAAACUGCUUUGAAAAGAUGCUGAAGAGCCUUCAGGUAAAGACUCUCUAAAAAUGUUAGCUUUACCAGGAAACUGACUGCAAACCCAUAACUGGCAAAAAUGACAAACAUGUUAUUUACUCAGAACUCUUUCCUGUAAGUCCUCUCCUCAAUUUCCCCAAAAAGCCAACACCCAGCUGACCUCAGAGAAUCACUUCUGCAGGUAAGAAGAGCAAAUGAUUGCAGAUUUGAUCUUCCAUCAAAGUAUUUCUGAUUCAUUUUCACAGCAGUGUUACAUUAACCCCUCAAACAUGUACCAUUUAUAUUAUAUAGUGGUGACAUGCUGUCAGGUUCGCGUUAGUAAAGUUCAAACAUGUUCUGGUUCAUAACAGUAAGGUGUGAAUGUUUAAGUUCACUAUAGAUGGUAUUUAUUGAGGUGUGAAGCUCCUACAUCACAGUCUGAGAAAUAACAGAUGUGUUAAGACCAGAUUCAUCUGAACCACAUCCCACAUAAACUAUUUUUGGACAACUAAAAAUUAGCCAAAGACUAAAAUGUGACAUGUACAUGUAAAUAUUUAUUCAUUUGCUCUGUCCCUAAUGUACAUCAUUUGAUCUGAGUAAGGAAAGACAAACAUGAUGAGGAAUUGAACGUUUCAGAUCCAGCUUCACCAUCACAGCCUCCAGGUUGAGUGGCAGAGACUCCGUCACUGAGUCCAGAGUUUCAGCCUCCUGAUAAAACUGCCUCACUGCUCACGCAGCUUCCACUGUACCGUCACUCAGCUUGGCUCGGGAGACAGGGACAGAUCAGGAAAAGCCUUCUGGUUCCACCUGAAACAUUGCAGCUGCAGAGGCCCGUUCUGGUGGUUUCUCUCUCUGGUUUCAGAAUGAACAUGAACAUUUAUCAAUACCAAAUGUGGCAGAGCGAUCAGAGUAAGAGUAAAAACAUGAAUAGCCUAAUCAAACACUUACUCUAGAUAAUAUUUUUGGCCUCUUGUGCCUUGUGGUAUCUUUGACAUGGACGUCUUUUUAAUCCAACUUCAGAAGAUAUUCCAUAUUCUUGACUGACCGACUGGAAUAAAAACAGAUAUCUAUGGCAUAUAUCUCUAAUUUGAUUGUUUCUUCUUCUGCACUGUUAAAUUUCUUAAUCUAAAAAAUAUCUGACCAACUAAACUCUGCCUUAUAUUAAAGAACUGAAUGUUUCAUAUGAUCCUAACAGAGCACUAGUACUCAGGAUGUAGGUUUACAGAUGGUUCAUGGUUUUAAAAAAGUAGAAUGGGUUUUUCCACUUCCUGUCCAUGAGGCAAACCCCCGUCUACUUUUGAGACUGGGAAAGGUUUUAUGAUGCAGCUCGUGCUCGGUGUGGCUCCAGGUAUCCUGAACUAGCCCUACAGUUGUGUGGCUACGGGUUUAGGCCACCACUAUUCUGCAUGAAUGCAUUUUUGUUGCCAUCAACUAUUUUUUUCUGUUUCAUCUCAGUCCAGGGAACAGCUGGUCUACCUCUGUCCUCCUAAAAUCUCAAUGCAGUGAGCCGAGUUUCCUCUCCAAGCCUUUGACUGUACAACAGGUUUAUCAAUAACUGAAUUUGACUGGACUCCAUUCCAGCUGGACUGAACAGACUGCACUGGAAUGAUUUACAGAAACUCCACUUGAACGGACUGGGGAUUAUAAAAGAAUGUCCUGUAAAGUGUUUAGAUAUGUCAGUUGUGAUAUGAACGCAUAUAAACUGCAGUGAGUUUUUUUUUUUAUAUAUAGUUACUUUGUAUUGAAGAUCCAUAUUUGCAAUCGAAGUUCAUUUGUUUUAUUGUCUUUUUGUUUCACAAAAGAGGCAGCCCCUCCCCCCCACUUACAUUUAGUGUGUAUGCAAUAUAAUGUACAGUUUUGUUAUUAUGGUCAUGUAAUAAUUAACCAUGGCUUUAAGCCAUUACCCGUUCAAUAUUUUAACUUAAUGUGUUAUAAUAAAGGGUCUGUAUGGUGCUCUUGGUAGAGCGUAAGCCUCAUUACACCAUUUUUACUGAGCAGAGACAAAAAA